rnacentral:rRNA from 1 species
CCUGAUCCAGCAAUGCCGCGUGUGUGAAGAAGGCCUUCGGGUUGUAAAGCACUUUUGUCCGGAAAGAAAUGGCUCUGGUUAAUACCUGGGGUCGAUGACGGUACCGGAAGAAUAAGCACCGGCUAACUACGUGCCAGCAGCCGCGGUAAUACGUAGGGUGCGAGCGUUAAUCGGAAUUACUGGGCGUAAAGCGUGCGCAGGCGGUUUUGUAAGACAGGCGUGAAAUCCCCGAGCUCAACUUGGGAAUGGCGCUUGUGACUGCAAGGCUAGAGUAUGUCAGAGGGGGGUAGAAUUCCACGUGUAGCAGUGAAAUGCGUAGAGAUGUGGAGGAAUACCGAUGGCGAAGGCAGCCCCCUGGGACGUCACUGACGCUCAUGCACGAAAGCGUGGGGAGCAAACAGGAUUAGAUACCCUGGUAGUCCACGCCCUAAACGAUGUCAACUAGUUGUUGGGGAUUCAUUUCUUCAGUAACGUAGCUAACGCGUGAAGUUGACCGCCUGGGGAGUACGGUCGCAAGAUUAAAACUCAAAGGAAUUGACGGGGACCCGCACAAGCGGUGGAUGAUGUGGAUUAAUUCGAUGCAACGCGAAAAACCUUACCUACCCUUGACAUGCCACUAACGAAGCAGAGA